UGACCCGGAGCACGAGCGGCAGUGCGGCAGCCUUUUAAGCUGUGAGGUGCGGGUUCGAGUCCCGCCGGGUCAA
rnacentral:tRNA from 1 species